rnacentral:rRNA from 1 species
AGUGAACGCUGGCGGUAGGCCUAACACGUGCAAGUCGAACGGCAGCACAGAGGAGCUUGCUCCUUGGGUGGCGAGUGGCGGACGGGUGAGGAAUACAUCGGAAUCUACUCUGUCGUGGGGGAUAACGUAGGGAAACUUACGCUAAUACCGCAUACGACCUACGGGUGAAAGCAGGGGAUCUUCGGACCUUGCGCGAUUGAAUGAGCCGAUGUCGGAUUAGCUAGUUGGCGGGGUAAAGGCCCACCAGGGCGACGAUCCGUAGCUGGUCUGAGAGGAUGAUCAGCCACACUGGAACUGAGACACGGUCCAGACUCCUACGGGAGGCAGCAGUGGGGAAUAUUGGGCAAUGGGCGCAAGCCUGAUCCAGCCAUACCGCGUGGGUGAAGAAGGCCUUCGGGUUGUAAAGCCCUUUUGUUGGGAAAGAAAUCCAUCUGGUUAAUACCCGGGUGGGAUGACGGUACCCAAAGAAUAAGCACCGGCUAACUUCGUGCCAGCCGCCGCAGUAA